rnacentral:rRNA from 1 species
AUUGAACGCUGGCGGCAGGCCUAACACAUGCAAGUCGAGCGGAGCGGCGGACGGGCGAGUAAUGCCUAGGUAUCUGACUGGUAGUGGGGGAGAACGACCGGCAACGGGCGCUAAUACAGCACACUUUCCGACGAGCCUAGGCCGGUGUAGCUAGUUGGUGGGGUAAAGGCCUACCCAGGCGACGAUCCCUACCUGGUCUGAGAGGAUGAUCAGUCACACUGGAACUGAGACACGGUCCAGACUCCUACGGGAGGCAGCAGUGGGGAAUAUUGGACAAUGGGCGAAAGCCUGAUGCAGCCAUGCCGCGUGUGUGAAGAAGGUCUUCGGGUUGUAAAGCACUUUAAGUUGGGAGGCGUUACCAGCAGAAGAAGCACCGGCUAACUCCGUGCCAGCAGCCGCGGUAAUAC